GAUGAACGCUGGCGGCGUGCCUAGUACAUGCAAGUCGAGCGAAUGGAUUAAGAGCUUGCUCUUAUGAAGUUAGCGGCGGACGGGUGAGUAACACGUGGGUAACCUGCCCAUAAGACUGGGAUAACUCCGGGAAACCGGGGCUAAUACCGGAUAAUAUUUUGAACUGCAUGGUUCAAAAUUGAAAGGCGGCUUCGGCUGUCACUUAUGGCUGGACCCGCGUCGCAUGAGCUAGUUGGUGGGGUAACGGUUCACCAAGGCAACGAUGCGUAGCCGACCGGAGAGGGUGAUCGGCCACACUGGGACUGAGACACGGCCCAGACUCCUACGGGAGGCAGCAGUAGGGAAUCUUCCGCAAUGGACGAAAGUCUGACGGAGCAACGCCGCGUGAGUGAUGAAGGCUUUCGGGUCGUAAAACUCUGUUGUUAGGGAAGAACAAGUGCUAGUUGAAUAAGCUGGCACCUUGACGGUACCUAACCAGAAAGCCACGGCUAACUACGUGCCAGCCGCCGCGGUAA
rnacentral:rRNA from 1 species